AUGUCUUUGAUAUGGGAAGUAGUAGUUGUAGUUACUAUUGUGUCUGUGUUGUAUGAGUUGCUAAAUAUACAUAAUAGAAAAAAGUUACCUCCAGGUCCAAGAGGGCUUCCCAUUCUUGGACAUCUUCAUUUGUUAGGGAAAAACCCUCACCAUGAUUUUCAAAACUUAGCCAAGAAACAUGGUCCAAUUAUGUAUAUGAGACUAGGACUAGUACCUACAAUCGUUGUCUCGUCUACUGAUGUAGCUGAGAAAAUCCUCAAGACGUAUGAUCAUAUCUUUGCUAAUAAGCCUCAUAACGAGGCAGCUCAUUAUUUGGCGUAUGGACAGAAGAAUAUUAUAUUUGCAAAGUAUGGACCAUACUGGAGAAAUAUGCGUAAAUUGUGCACUCAACAUCUUUUGACUAAUCAAAAGAUCAAUUCAUUUCAAUCCUUGAGAAGACAACAAGUUGAGCUUAUGAUCAAAUCACUUCAAAAUGAAGGUCGUGUUGUUGUUGAUCUUAGUGAAAGAGUCGCGUCCUUGAAUGCUAACAUGACUUGUUUGAUGGUGUUUGGAAAGAAGUAUAUGGACGAAGAUUUAAAGUUGUACUUCAAGAAGUUGUUCAUUUAGCUGCAGUAACUAAUCUUGGAGAUUUUUUCCCCUUUCUUGGUGUAAUUGAUCUCCAGGGACUCACACGCCGACUCAAGGAUCUUUCAAAGGUGUUUGAUGAGUUUCUUGAGAAGAUUAUCAAUGAACAUGUCGAGUCUCAUGAUAAAAAUCAAUCCAAAGACUUUGUGGAUACGUUGUUGGACAUUAUGCAAUCAGGAAAAAUGGAAUUUCAGUUUGAUCGUAUCCAUAUAAAAGUUGUCCUCUUCGACAUGAUUGUUGCAGCAAUUGACACUUCAGCAGCAUCAAUAGAUUGGAUACUAACAUAGCUUCUUAGACACCCUCAUGUGAUGAAGAAACUACAAAACGAGUUAGAACAAGUGGUAGGCCUUGAAAGAAUGGUAAAAGAAUCCGACUUGGAGAAUUUGAAGUACUUAGACAUGGUUGUAAAAGAGGGAAUGAGGCUACAUUGUGUAGUGCCAGUAACGCAACGUGAGGCCAUGAAAGAUUGUGUAGUUGAUGGCUUCAACAUACGAAAGGGAACACGAAUCAUGAUAAAUCAUUAUGCAAUUCAGAGGGAUCCAAAUGUUUGGUCCGAACCUGAGAAGUUUAUGCCGGAGAGGUUUAUUGGGAGCAGUGUAGAUGUUCGUGGACGUGACUUCCAACUUUUACCAUUUAACUCUGGCAGAAGAAGUUGCCCUGCAAUACAAUUGGGGAUUAUCGUUGUCCGCCUUGUCGUUGCGCAAUUGGUGCAUUGCUUUGAUUGGGAGCUUCCAAAUGAUAUGCGGCCUUGUGAUUUGGACCUUGAGGAGCACUUUGGAAUAGUAACAUCCAAAGAAAAAUAUUUAAUGGCUAUUCCUACUUAUAGACUAAAUGAACAAUGAAAAUACAAGUUUUCAUUUAGAUACCACGAUUGUACUUUUGAAAGUUU